rnacentral:lncRNA from 1 species
CCGCCAUUUAUGCUUUGUAAGAAUGAAAAAAAAUCAAUUAAAAAUUGACAAGGAAAAAGAAAAUAAUUCUUUUCUAUCAUCUGGCUUUUAAAUAUUCUUAGAUAAUUACACAUAUAUCCCAAUUUCUCUUAUACUUUUUAAAUAGUUUGACGAGGAACCAACUGAACCUGUGCACGGUAGCUGUAUGAGACAGAAAAUCCCACAACGGAAGGAAUAACGUUAAACCGAAAACUGGGUCCCAGCUGACAGCCAGACGAAUCUCUGGCCUGGCGAUCCCGGAUCUACACCCCACAACUGACAACUAAUGUUAAACCGAACCCGAGAAGAUGAAUGAGAGCGAGAAUAUCCUUGAAUCUGUCGAACCUCAGAGGAACUGGGGGACCCCAUAUCGGUACUUCUCGGCGAAAAAUAACGGUAAAAAAUAUAUUUCCAUAAGUUCCCGUGAAGAUCCCUUACAACACUAAUGAAGUCUAAAUCUUUUUUUUAUACAGAGAGCAGGGGUGUGCACACGGAACAUUUUGGACUGUAAAGGUUGAAACUUUUGAACCGAAACGAAUGUACACGAUAUCUAAUAGAAUUUUAGAAUUUUUAAGAUUCUAAAUUGUGGACGGAAAGUGAUUUCAACUUGAAGUCUACAAUGUUAAUCGUAUAAAUUAAAAAAAUUUAACUUUUUAUCUAUUUUCCUUAAUUGGAUAUCUCGGAUAUAAAAGUUUACUACUGAAAUUCUGUCCCUAUAAAUAAAUAAUCUGAAAUAACGUGUUUUAAUCAGUAAAUCUUUAUUGAAAUUUUUCGGAGAAUGAUCCGUAAACUAUAAAUAGGACUUGAGCCAAAAACUGAAUUUCCCUUCUCAAUCUGAAUUGUAUUUAAAAAUAAACUAAUUAUCUUUUUAUUGAUUCAGUCUGAUGAAACUGUAACGCCUCCUGAACCGACAGACCCAGGACGUCUCAAGAAGAUAGGACAACUACGCUACAACGUUAUCUCAAAUUUGUAGCUCAAUACAAUGAGCUAACAUAAUUGCUUCUUGGCUUAAAAGAUACUAACGAACCAUCAAUGUUCGUAAUUAGUAUAUUUUUUAAAUAUUUAGUCCCUUCGGACACCAUGCUAAUGAAGCCUCAAUAUUAUUAAGACGAACCAUCAAUGUUCGCAUUUAUUAUUUUUCUCAAUUAUCAUUUUCCUUCGAAUACUUCUUAAUUAUUGUGUUCCUUCUUUCGCUUGCUUAUGAAGCCCCAAUAUAAACGAAUUGACAUAUUUUCGCGUAAAAUGUAGCCUCAAUAUAAACGAAGAACGUGUAAUGUUCCUCGUUAUGAAGCUUACAUUAAAUUACUUUAAUGUAAAAAUGGAAAGUCGCUCCCGUGUAUGUUUAUGUGAAAGCAUGCACACUGUUAAUUGUAGCCUUUUCUAAUAAGAGAUAACACACAUUGUGUAUGUAGUAUCUCACAGUCAGAUUUCACAAAAGAACGCUACCCUUAAUAUAUAAUGUAGUUUUUUCUCUCGAA